AUGUAUUCUCAAUUUAAGUCAUCUCCCAAAAGAGGAUUUUUCAGGGAAGAAACAGAUCAUUUAAUUAAAAACCUUCUGGGCAAGAGAAUUAGCAAACUUAUUAAUUCUCCUGAUCUCCAAGAUAACUUUCAAGAGUUCUAUGACAGCUGGCCUAGCAAGCCUGCUGACUACCAUGGUUUGUUGUUACCGCCUAUCGAGGGGCAGGAAAUCAAAGUCUGGGCCCAGCGCUCUCUGCGUUGGAUUCCAGAAGCCCAAAUCCUAGGUGGUGGCCGAGUGGCCAGUAUGAGCAAACUCUUGUAAAUGAUGGAGGAAGUCCAGAGUUUACAAGAGAAGGUCAAUGAGAGACACCACAGCCAGCAGGCCCCCAAGGCUGAGGCCCCCUGCCUGCUGAGGAACUCUUCCCACCUGUCCUCUUUGUUUCCUUUUGCUCUGCUCCAGCGACAUUCCUCUAAGCCGGUCUUACCCACCAGUGGCUGAAAAGCUUUGGAAGAUGAAGAUGAUCUGGCCAAAAGAGAAGAUGAGUUCAUGGACCUAGGGGAUAUGUGA
rnacentral:lncRNA from 1 species